GUUGCCGGCCAUAGGGUGUGGGUUCGACCCGUUCCCAUUCCGAACACGGAAGUCAAACCACACCACGUCUCCCCCCUCCCUAGUGGGAGACCCUAGGAGAGGAGGGGGAUGCUGGCAACC
rnacentral:rRNA from 1 species